GUGCUCGCUUCGGCAGCACAUGGACCGAAACUGGAACGAUCCAGAGAUUAGUGCGGUCCCUGCGCGAGGAUGACAUGCACAUUCGUGAAGCAUUCCAUAUUUUU